UUCACAGAGAGCAGACUGAAAUCUGUUCUGCUUGUACCAAAGAGGGCAGAACAGAUGACAAAUGGUGCGAAGGGGACACCAAGGAAGGCUUCACAGUGGAGGAGGUGUCUAAGCUGGGCCUGGUGGACGGAUUUUCUGUUGAAAGGAAAAGGAGAGAGAGAAAGAGGAACAGUCUGGGAAGUGGCAGGCGUGGCAUAGAACUUCAUCCAGACUCUUGUAGAUGCUCUUGAAAGGUCAGGGUGAUGUUCACGAGACCAAGGCUAAUGCAGCAUCAUUUUUCUGGGGACAGGACUGGGAUGAAGUGGACCGCCACAAACACCAUGGGAACAGAAGACACCGCCCUGGUCCUUAGGAAGCUGCCGAUCAUUGGUGCCAACACCUGGAGAACAGCAUCACUUAGUUCUUCAACAACAUGCAUGGAGCAACUACGUGUCAGGGGCUGUGAUGGACACCAGAAACCCACUGGAGAAUAAAAACAGACAUGAUGCUCACUCUCAUGGAGACUGAUUCUGGGAGGGAAAAUAAUUUUUUUAAAAAGACCCAGGCACCAUGAGAAGGCAGCAGAGGACUGGUCUACUCUGAAGAUUCCUACUCUGGGCAGGAAUCAUUACUAAUUCGACAAGUGGGCCUGGAUGUGAACAAUGAGAAGGACAGAACAAAGCAGAGAUGGGAGAGAAGAGUGUUCCUGGAGAGGGAACAGUGCUUGCAGAUGCCCCCAGGGGAAGAAGGUCAGGUGACUGGGAUGGAGAAUGAGGGAGAGCUUGGUCCAGAAUGAGGCUGUUCAGCAGGUGUCAUAAACUACCCAACGAUUGGGGAUUGUAUCCUGGAAACACUAGAAUGUGUUGGAGUCUCUCUAACUGGGGCAAAAUUGAGGGCAACCCACUCCAGGUGCUCUGGGUGUGCAGAGAAACAGGGAAGGAACAGACUCUCCGUUUACUGACCUUGCUCUUUUCUCAUCUCACCGCAUUUAACUCUGACCACAAGUCUGUAAGGUUCUCAUCCCCAUCAUCACGAAGAGACACCUGAGAUCCAGAGAAGAAAUAUGUAUAUGUUUGAGGACAAGAUGUCGCUACAUACCGUGUUGGGCGGGCUGAAGAAUAUACAGCAGGCGCUGCUCUGGGGAUUGGUGGCAGUCAUGGAUGUGGAAGGACCUAGAAAACUUGAAGGCACCAUACAAAUGAUUAUUGAGAUGCUCAGGAGUGUAAUGUCCUCAUUCAUUCAACCUGAAUAACACUGUUUAUGAAUAGGUUAGACCGCAGUGGACUUCAGGGGUGGGAAUCCUAGCUAUGUGAUGGGGUCAGGAUGAAACCCAUUUUCAACAAACUUCACUCUGUCUCACUAACUACUUAAAGAUCCAGUCAUGCUUCUGAUCUGAAUAUCUCCCUAGACUCAGUACUUGAUCUGGCCCACACUAGAAUCGGCCCCAAAUUCUCUGGAUUUAAAAGAAAAAAAAAUGCUAUUAGAAUCAGAGCCUUCUUUGGAAUGUUCUCCCCCUUCCAUGUCAGCCUGGCCUGCGCUGGGCACUCAGAGCCUCUAAUGCAGUCAAUAUUGUGGCUCAACUCAGCCCUUCGCUUGUAUAAGGAAAUGCCUUUUAUCUGAUGCUCUAGUGCCCAUCCCUGUGCAUGUUAUUCUAGUCAGACUCACCUGGGCAGCCCUCAGCCCUGGCCCAGAACCUCCUGAGGAGAGGCCUUUGUCCUCAGCGCCGACAAGCAAUGCAAGCUCGCUCAAGCCAAGAAAAACAUUUCCAUGGGCCCCCAAGAGGUAACAUCCAAGUCCAUCACAGCUCCAGACUGAGUCGAGCAAUUAAAUCCACAGCUGCCCCUGCCCAAAACCUCAAAAAUGUUAACAUCUUGCACGUGUCAAGAGGGUUAUUUAUGAAACUAUUUGCUUGUCAACCCCAGGAGGACGUUCUGUACUUUUUUGCUGGAAUACUGUAUAUUUAUGAACCAUGGCUCAAAAACUAACUUUGGCAGGAAUAUUUAUCAGAGAGGAAAUUCUAUCAGCCCCUUGCAAAGCGCAGCCUGGAUUCGGUCACCGUCACACGGUGGUUGGGCAGGGUCCCGGUAGACAGCCAGUCCGUGGCUCCCUGCUGGAGGAAUGAAUUCCACGUGUGUGUGUGUCUUCGGGGGAAGGACUUCAGUUUCAGAUAAGAAGCUUGCUUUCUCACUCACCCUGUUUUGAAUCUCCACUCCCCCAUUCUCAAUCUCAAGUAAUUAGCCUUGAACGUCGAUUUAACAUGUCCUCUAUUUGUUGCCUCCCGCCUUGGAUCCUUUAGCGGAUCCAGCCCUGACCUCAUAAAGUCUCCCAGUUUGGAGAACUAGCCUUCUGACCGCCCAGAUUUAGGAUCUGGUCAUCUGGGCCUAGUGUGCGACACAUAGAGAGCCAGCUGGUGAGCGAGCACAAGGCUUGGUGUAAUGUGGGACAGACCCUAAUCUGGGACAGUGAAAUGCUCAGAAGGAACUGUUGACACCAGCCUGCCUCAAGACGGCACCCGUGGAGCUAGGAUGCCUCCAGCAUGUCCCCACGGUCAGCUUCCUCGGCCAGUAAAGUCUUCUGCUGACAGGAAUUCUGUGCCUGUCCAGCAUCGUGCUGGGUUUCUUGCUCUCUCUUGAGCUUGGGUGAUGAACUUAUAAUUCAUUUCUUGUCUCUCUUCAUGACUGAAGAGCCUCAGUGGGGAGUGGCCUGUGAGGUGUGGAUUUUGUCCAGUGACAGAUCAAGGAACAUGUGUAUCCGGGGACCUAGGGAGACCCAGAGUAACAGAGAGCUCUUCACACCGAAAAGUGACAUAUGCUGUAAUACCUAUAUUUUUCUUCUUAAGAGCUUUUGAGCCCUGAUUAAACGCUUGUUCCUAAAAAUCUUGACCUGUAAUGACACGCCUGGUAGAUGUCCUUGUAGAUAAAGUAAAAUCCUUGAGCUAGUUUCCCAACCAGGCCUCAGAGUAGCUAUACUAAAUUAUGAUUAUUGCCAUUUGUCAAAUAUUUGGCAUUUAGCACACUCUAUUUCCGAUUCUUAGAAACUGCAAAGAUUUUAUCAUUCCUAUAUUAUAGGUUUAAAAAAAAUAAUAAAAAGCCCAAGAUGUGGAGGGGUUAAGUAGGUUUCUGACAGCCACACAGCUGAUUACAGGUAGAAUUGGUAUUUAAAUCCAGAAUGAACCUGUUCUUUGAUGGGACAGAAGAGAAAAGAGAUUAAGGAGUUGAAGGAAGGAGAGAGGAGAAAAGUUGAAGCAUAAAUAGAAACAACUCUGGGGAGUUUGGUGUUAUUUACCCCAAGUUGCCCUUCCAGACUCACUUGACCUCCUUGAGGGAUGCUGGCCGCCAGGAGGACAUGUCCCUCUGUGGAGGGCCCCAGUGUGAACAUCCAAGGAGGCUUGG